GAUGAACGCUGGCGGCGUGCCUAAUACAUGCAAGUCGAGCGCACAGACGAGAAGCUUGCUCCUCUGAUGUUAGCGGCGGACGGGUGAGUAACACGUGGAUAAUCUACCUUUAAGACUGGGAUAACUUCGGGAAACCGGAGCUAAUACCGCAUAAUAUCUUGAACCGCAUGGUUCAAUAGUGAAAGACGGUCUUGCUGUCACUUAUAGAUGGAUCCGCGCUGCUUUAGCUAGUUGGUAAGGUAACGGCUUACCAAGUCAACAAUGAGUAGCCGACCUGAGAGGGGGAUCGGCCACUCGGGAACGGGGACAGGGUCCAGACUCCUAGGGGAGGCAGAAGAAGGAAAUUUUCGGCAUGGGGGGAAAGCCUAGCGGAGCAAGGCCGCGUAGGUGAUGAAGUUCUUCGGUUCGGAAAACUCUGUUAUUAGGGAAAAACAUAUGUGUAAGGAAAUGCGCACAUCUUGACGGUACCUAAUCAGAAAGCCACGGCUAACUACGUG
rnacentral:rRNA from 1 species